AUGGGCGAUGAACCGACACCAUCCGACUUGAUGGAUGAGGAGUACUACAUGUUUCGUGAUCAAGGUAUGGUCAACUCGGAACUUGGAAGUCGUGUAGCCUUAUUGUAAUUAUAGAUAUUUGUGAAUAUUGUUUUGAACAUCAUGUCCCAACAAAUGCUUGUAGGAUCUGAUAAUGACACAAUUGAGGAUGACGAUGAAUCGAGCAUGUCGUUUGCUAGACCUAGCGAAGUUGAUCCAUUAGACUUUGUCUACACAAACAUCCCAGACAGCACUCACAUCCUGAUGCUAGACGCGAACUACAAACACUGCAACGCCAAAAAGUUUGUGUCUGAGACUGACGGGUUCUGCUGUCGCAAUGGACAGAUCGAACUUAAACAACCAGAACCAGUACUGGAGCUGAUGAGGUUAUGGUCCAGCAUGGAUGCAGAUUCUAGACAUUUUCGGGAGAACAUACGGUUCUUCAACGGGCAUUUCGCCUUCACAACCCUUGGCGUCAGCCUUGAUGAGAACUACACAAACAUGAAGUCUGGGGUGUACACAUUCCGGGCACACGGCACCAUCUACCACAAUGUGCACUCGUUCGGCCCUAGGUCCUGCCCAGAACAUCUUCAGUUAUACUUCUAUGAUGACGACCCAACCAUAACUCAUCGUAAGGCGGCCACCAAGCAACUAGACCAGGAUGUCGUGAAGAAGUUAGUAGACAUACUCAAAGAAAACCCGUAUUCCCAGCAAUUUAGGAGUUUGGGUGCACACAAGGACAACCUCGAUGAUUAUAGGAUAGACCUAAACACCAAAGAGGCUUGACCAAAGAAGAUAUAAUAGACCGUUGUCAUCAGAGGUCACUGCAAUCUGGGUUGAGGGCAACGACCUAGCAAAAAGGUUUGACCGGAGGAUAACACUUUGUGGUAACAACAACGAAAGGCAUAGUAUACGUGUGACCUCCGGGGCAUAUGACCCGUUGUCUUAUCCCCUAUUCUAUCCAAGGGGGGAACUAGGUUGGCAUCCGAAGCUACCUAAACGUAAUGUUCCUUGGGAGGUUGUACUACAUCCUCAACUGGUCCAUGAUGAUGAUGAGGACGCAGGUUUUCCUUAAGCGUCCUAGUUUGUUUCAAUAAUAUAAUAUUUAUCGAAUAUAUCCUCAUUCUGAUGUUAGUCAUUCACCUACAGAGGGGAAUAGCAGGUUGUGUGUCUCUGUUAGAGACUAUUACUGUUACAUGCUGCAGACACGGCCUGCGAUCUUCAAUCCCAUACUAUGUGGAGCACGUCUACUGUAGCAAUGGGCAGUCGACAUGUAUGUCAAGAUUGAGAGUUGUCGGUUGUGGUGUUUCAGGAAGAACUAGACGCAGAUUCGGGCCGACUUGUAUAAAGGAGUUGUUGAUGCCAUCACAUCGGGGGAGACGCGAGCAAGCGCUGUUGGGACAAGGAUAGUGCUCCCUGGAACAUACCCAGGUGGCGACCGUGACAUGAAGAAGAGGCAUAUGGAUGCCAUGGCAAUUGUCCAUACAUACGGGAAGCCUGACAUCUUCUUGACCAUGACUUGCAAUCCAAAAUGGGAAGAGAUAACUAAUAAGUUGUUGCCUGGUCAGACGGCGCAAGACCGACCUGAUAUUGUGGCUCGCGUGUUCUACGGCAAACUAGAGGCUAUGAAAGACAUGUUGUUCAAGAAGCAGAUUUUGGGUGUUGUUGUCGCCUAUGUAUACGUAGUUGAGUUCCAAAAAAGGGGCCUUCCCCACGCACAUUUCUUGUUGAUCAUGGACUCAACAUAUAAGCUUAUCGUCCCAGAGCAGUAUGACCGACUCAUUUCUGCAGAGCUCCUAGACAAGCAUAAGUAUCCCGAACUGUAUGCAAUGGUGGUAAAACAUAUGAUGCACAGACCAUGCGGUGCUCUCAACCCAAAGAAUGUUUGCAUGCAAGAAAAUGGAUGCAAGUGCAGAUACCCGCGGCCGUUCAAUGAAAACACAUCACAGGGGAAGGACUCAUAUCCAGUUUAUUGGCGUAGAGACGAUGGUAGAUGUUGGACAACAGAUGGGUUGUGCCUUAUAACCCAUACCUUCUGCGGAUGUUCAAUUGCCACAUCAACAUUGAGGUCUGCUCUAGCAUAAAGGCCGUCAAAUAUCUUUACAAGUACAUCUACAAGGGCCAUGAUAAGGCUUCUUUCAGCAUCGACCAGCCCGACGCCGAUGGUAACAUUGAUGAGAUCAAGAGGCACGUUGACGCAAGGUGGGUCACCCCUCCGGAGGCUAUGUGGAGGAUAUUUGGCUUCCCACUAUGCGCCAAUCACCCACCUAUGUUGUAGUUGCCUCUUCAUCUCCCGAAUAUGCACAGGGUUGCAUUCAAUGUGCAGGCUGACUUGAAGAAUGUUGUCGCCUCAGAAAAAGCUUCCAAAUCCAUGUUAACUGAGUACUUCAAGGCUAACCAGGAACACCCUUGGGCUAGGAAUAUAUUGUACAAGAAUUUUCCCGGAAGCUUCACGUGGCAACAGCAAAAGAAGACUUGGAAGCCUCGGGUCGAGCGUUUCCAAAUAGGAUGCAUCGUGUCUGCCAAUCCUACCGAAGGGGAGCGAUACUACCUGCAUGUAUUGCUAAACCAUGUUACGGGCAAAACAUCCUUCGACGAUUUGCUCACCGUGGACGGCGUGCUAUGUGGGAGCUUUAGAGAGGCUGUUGAACGGUUAGGUCUCAUCGAGGCAGACAGCACGCUCGACGACUGUCUUAAUGAGGCUGAGCAGUGGGCGAUGCCAUGUUCUCUUAGGAGGCUCUUUGCAACCAUCUUGGUGCACUGCGAGCCAGGCGACGUGCACGGUUUAUGGGAUAGGCACCUAGAGCCUAUGUCAGAUGACUAUCGUCGAACACGCACGUCCCCGAACGAGGUGGAGCAGUUGGUGUUGCUUCACAUUAGGGGUAUGUUGCAGUCCAUGGGUAAAGACAUUGUUGAUUUCGCUCUUCCAAGCAUCGACGAUGCCUUUGACCCAACCGAGGGCGAGUGUCGAGAGGUCACGGAGGAAUCAACCGUUGAGCUUGACAUGGAUGACACUAAAUUGGCAGCUUCCCUGAACUUGGAACAGAGGGCCGCAUACGAUGAGAUACUGGCGGUUAUUGAACGCGGUGUUGGGGGUGUAUUCUUUGUUGACGGGCCUGGAGGUACAGGGAAGACCUUCCUAUAUAGGGCGAUGCUUGCGAAGGUGAGGAGUGAGGGCAAUAUAGGUAUCUCUACCGCGACAUCAGGCGUUGCCGCUUCUAUCAUGCCUGGUGGCAGGACUGUCCACUCGAGGUUCAAGAUACCAUUGAGUUGCGAUGAUGGAGCCUCGUGUAGCUUCACCAAACAGAGUGGGACUGCCAAGCUGCUUAGGAUGGCCUCAUUGAUAAUAUGGGACGAGGCCAGCAUGACGAAGCGACAAGCGGUCGAGGCAUUGGACAAUAGCAUGCGUGACAUCAUGGGAAUACGCGACCGACCCUUUGGAGGAAAGACUGUUGUUUUUGGCGGGGACUUUAGGCAGGUGCUUCCGGUGGUCAGAAGGGGGUCGAGGGGCCAUAUAAUUGAUGCAACCCUUUGAAGUUCUCAUCUAUGGAAGGGUAUGCGACAGCUUCGGCUCAUCACCAACAUGAGGGCUCAUAAUGACACGUGGUUUGCAGAUUACUUGCUUAGGGUUGGCAAUGGAACUAAGGAUGUCGAUGAUCAAGGCAACAUAUUACACCCUGAAGACAUUUGUCUGCCUUCUACAGGCGAGGUUGACGACUUGGAGAAGCUUAUUGACCACGUGUUUCCGAGUCUGGAUGACAACAUGUCUGAUUCAAAUUACAUGACAUGUCGCGCAAUACUUUCCACCACCAAUGACAAUGUCGACAAGAUAAACAUCUGCAUGAUAGAGCGUUUUCAGGGUGAUGAAGUAAUCUACCAUAGUUUUGACAGUGCGGAGGACGACCCGUAUGGCUACUACACUCAAGAGUUUUCGAAUGGAUUGACUCCCAACGGUCUUCCUCCGCAUGCACUCAAACUAAAGCUAAACUGCCCCGUCAUACUUCUAAGGAACAUUGAUCCAGCUAACGGACUGUGUAACGACACUAGGCUUGUUGUUAGAGGUUUUGAGAGGAACACCAUUGAUGCAGAAAUUGUGAUUGGACAACACGCUGGCGGGAGGGUCUUCCUUCCUCGAAUACCUCUCUGCCCAUCUGAAAAUGACAUGUUUUCGUUCAAGUUUAAGAGGAAGCAAUUUACUAUAAGACUUAGCUUUGCUAUGACCAUUAACAAGGCUCAAGGGCAGACCAUCCCUACUGUUGGUGUCUACCUACCCAAUCCUGUGUUCUCUCAUGGUCAACUCUAUGUUGCUUUGUCUCGAGCCACCGUGAAGAGAAACAUAAAGAUACUAAUUCAGAAGGAGAAGCCGAAGGAGAAGGUCAAGAAGCAAAAGGACAAUCCGAAGAAGCAACCGUGUCCUUACUGACUUCGAUGAAGAACAUCGUCUACAAGGAAGUCCUUACAGGUUGAACUCCGGUCUUAAUAUGCCGGCAGGUUUGGUAAGGACAUAUCAUGUACUCUUCCGAUGGUCAAGAUUUGCUAUAAUUUGUUUUUUUAGAUAUAUCUUUUUAUUUGGUAUUUUUAUAGUUGUAGGUAUACUCCAUUUAGUUGAACUACUAUAUGCAUUUCAAUCUUUAGCUGUCAUAUUGUCCCCAUCAUCUCUGUUCUAGGUUUUCUACAAACGCAACAAUUUAUCUGUAUUAUGUGAUUCAGAUAUUAUUAUUGGACUGAUAAAGUCCUGGAACAUGCAAUGAAACUAUUCUAUUACGGCAAGUGAUCAUUUCAUGAUUUUAUAGUGCUGAAUAUUACAUGUGAGAUGUGGCUGUCAAAUAAGCUCAUCAGGUGCCCACACAUGAUCAGGGAGACAACUGGAAUAUAUACAAAUACAGAUUUUGGUUGCUAUCUUCAAGUACUUUCAGAUUCAUUACAGUUUGUUAUUCAAGUAAUUUCAGAUGCAAUCUCGUGCCUAUUCUGGACUGUAAGCAAUUGGUUAAUGUUAAGCAGAUACUCGGAUCAGUAUUGUGGCUCUUCUGUACCUAUAUGCCUAGAUUAUUUGCUAAUUGUAUAUGAACUAUAUCUUCCUGUUUAGGUUGAUCAAUUGCCAGGAAUAGAAAGACUAUGGUUUUGAUUUUUAUCAUGUUUUGGUGAUUAGCUUCCUGGUAGAAUGGACUUCCAGUUAUCCGCUAUACUAAAUAAUUUCUAGCUAUUUUUUAACUAUUGAUUAGUACACACAGAUGAAUUAAGUUAGUCUCAAAACGCAACACAUUUCUUUGAUGCCUUGACUGUAUGCAUACUUGUGUUAUAUGUGAUGCGCUCACGAUAUAUGCUAGAUGGUGUCUUCUUUUUUAUAGCUUGAUUAGAUGCAACCGU
rnacentral:lncRNA from 1 species